UGCCAGGCUCGGCCGGGAGGUUCGGCGUCUCCUUAUACACCGAAAUCGUCGUUAGCGGGGGCGACAGCCGAGGGCGACGUAACCAAUCUUCCAGGGAUCCCGUGAUGCGACCAUGAGAUCCUGUCUGGCGGGGUUGAAGGAGGAAUCGGAUCCCAGCCGGAGGGCGGGGAUUCAUUCCCUUAUCGUGGGGAACGGGCGAGGCCCUGACGGGAGCAGUCUCACCACGAACUCGCAGCGCUCGCCAGGAAACGGGGUCGAGAAGCUUCCGGAUAAAUCCCUGGAAGAGCGGGCGACCACCUCGGAGGCCUGGCA
rnacentral:SRP_RNA from 1 species